GUUAAAGCGCGUUGCGCAGGAUUCUCUACAGUCUGCCUAAUGCACUCUGGAGAGAGGCACGUGACAUCAGCCAGAGCUGCUACGACAACAAAUGCUGUAUUUUGUCAUUCAUAACAGACCGUCCGAGAAUAAACGGGUCAGCCAGCAGUCGUUGUCAGAGUCAUCAAUGAACGGCAGGCAGAAAAAUACACAACGCAGAGACACACCGGUCACACCCGCAUAUUUUUUGCUACUUGGGUUAAUGUGCAUCGGGGCCAAGUAAACACGCACGGCAUUGGCGGUACUGCAUUUUGCUGACACCCUGGUCUGUCAGGUGGCAAGCGGCACUCGGCCAGAUGACGGUUGACCGAUGCCGAGAUUUAACCGAAGGCGCCGAACAGUUCCCGGACUCGGCCCUAGUCUUCUUGCUAGCUGGAUGCCAGGUGACAGGUGAAUGCAGUGAGGUGGGCGGAGCCAAAAGUUUAAACGAUGGCGGCAGAGAGCUAUCAUCUCUCUCUCUCUCGAGGCGGACGCACCACUCCAGCUCCAGUGUUUUGUUUUAUUUUAUUUCCUUUAGGGUUUCUUUUUUUCCCUUUGUUCUUGUUUCAGUUGUUCGUAAGUGUUGCUGUAUGUUUUUUUCUUUUCUUUACGGUAUGGAAUGGGACCUGGCGCUCUCUGAACGUGCAGCCGCCCAUCAGGAGCAGUGGGGUGCUCCUGCUGUCCACA